GUGUGCUGAAAGUCUGUAGAGAAGUCAUUUGGUCAGUGAACCUGGCUGCCAGCACCCUGCUUCCAGAAGGUAGUCCAGGGCAUAAGAAGAGCCCUAAUGCAGCAGCCUCCAAUGAGUCUGUAGCUGGCACAUUUACUGGUGAGAUGCGGUGUGGGUCUUAUUCUGGGCAGUGAAAUACAGAGACUGAUUUUUCUCAAGAUUUCUUGUCUGGACGUUGGAAAUAACACUUGAAUCUGAGCUGCUUUCUGGUGACCCAGGAAAAACAACUCAGCGGAUCCAUGGAGUGCUGUAGUACAAGCAGGCAUCAGCAUUUAAAGAUAUUGCAAUUAGCGGGGAGAGAAUUGU